UUCGCAAUGCCCGAAAGGGUGACGAAGCGACGCCGCGUGGGUGAAGAAGGCCUUCGGGUUGUAAAGCCCUGUCAGGAGUUAUGAAAUGUAAGUGCGCUAAUAUCGUGCUUAUUUGACAAAGGCUCCAAAGGAAGCCACGGCUAACUCUGUGCCAGCAGCCGCGGUAAUACAGAGGUGGCGAGCGUUGUUCGGAAUUAUUGGGCGUAAAGAGCACGUAGGUGGGUUUGCAAGUCAGAUGUGAAAGCCUUCUGUUCAACGGAAGAAUUGCAUCUGAAACUGCUAAUCUUGAGUAUAGGAGGGGAGAAUGGAACUUCUGGUGGAGCGGUGAAAUGCGUAGAUAUCAGAAGGAACGCCGGCGGCGAAAGCGAUUCUCUGGCCUAUUACUGACACUCAGUGUGCGAAAGCUAGGGGAGCAAACGGGAUUAGAUACCCCGGUAGUCCUAGCCGUAAACGAUGGGCACUAAGUAGAGGGGUUUU
rnacentral:rRNA from 1 species